rnacentral:lncRNA from 1 species
CCAAAAAAGCACCUCUUGGGUGGGUUAGAGUUUUUUGAUGGGUUAGAUGCAUCUAACCCAAUCUAACCCUACCUGUUUGGAUUUUUGGGGGUUAGAUAGCUCAACUCUAACCCAAUCUAACUCUAACCCUGAUAUCCAAACAGGGCCAUACUCGCCUUUUUCUCCCCAAGUGGGCCGGGUGAUCAUCAUUACUAUCUACAAUACCUCACUGACAAUGCAUGGCCAUGGUAUGCUUUGUCACAGUUAGUGCUGUAGCGAUCAUUCCCCUUUCAUUUCCUGCAUGCAUGCAUCUUUUUGACGUACGGCUCCCUGUGUCUGUAAAGGUAAACCGGACCUGGGCUUCACCCUAGCUGGGAAGAAUGUAAAGCUCGACUGGUUGGCAACAGAAGACAUGUGAGCAUCUAGAGAUUAAUCGGAUGCAUACUCGUGUGGCUCCCGCCCCAUGUGCACGUACGAUCGAAGUGGAGGAGAGGGAACCAAAGCUAGAAGAUCUACUCUUCUAGGAACAAAGUGCAAAAGAGGCUUGGGAGGGAGAGACAAAGCAUAUCAAAGGCAGAUAGUAAUGGAUAGCGGGAAAUUUGCUGUGAAUGAUAUGCUUGCACUUUGAUAAAGCAUGGUGUGCACCAGGAGCAUGAUAUCAAGGUGCGUACAAGUGUGCGUGCGUGGUACAGAAAGAGAUGGAUAGCGAGAUGGCUAGAUAGGCUUUAUCAAAGGUGGGUAGGACAGGAGCAUGCAAGCGAGUAGUUAGCUUGCCUGCUAGCCUAAAGGGCUCGCAUCUAUAUGCAUGUGUGCCCAUCGAUCGCUUCCUUCUGGUGCACAGCACACACGAUCCAGUUUCAAGAGUGUACUGUAUGAUGAAUCGAUCACUCUCUCUCUGCUAGCUAUAUAUCUCUUAGCUAGCUAGCUGAUAGGUUGGAAUUGAUACCUUCCUGGUCUGGAUAUCGAUCAUUGGUGCAAAUAUAUUUUCUUGGUCUGAAUAUCAUUGGUGCAAAUCUGGCUGGCUAAAGCGAAUCAGUAAAGGAAUGUUAUCAAACAACAAAAGGAAUGAUAUCAACAAAACAAAAAUUAACCUGAAAGAUCCUAGAUAUUCAUGCCCCUCAGUGCAUCCACACAAGAUCAACAUGCUCAAAGCAAGUUAAUCUGAAGAAAAUUCUAAAUUAUACCUGAUGAUCACUACAUCCAAACAAAAAUAACUAGGGGAUAGUCAAGAACUAUGAUAAUUUCAUUAGGUUAACAUCAUCAGGAAAAUUACGUACGACUAGAAUAAAAGUUGCCGAUGUGUUUAAGUUGCAAGUACUAUAUAAGACCUUGAUAAUAAGAAAUGUCUAAUUUAUUUUCAAUGCAGGAAAUUUGGUCAUAACAAAAAAGAACUAAAAUAUCAAUAUCAGCAAAAUACCAUGCUGACAAAAGAAUGUUUAUACAACAAUUGACAAAACUGCAGAUCACCAGCUCAGAAGAAAUGAGAGAGCACCUCAAAUGUGUCCACCUCCUGCUCGGACCACUACCCGCUCAUUAUUCUCUCAAACGCCAAGUAUACACGUGCACCGUAUCAGAUUCUAGUUCAAGAGCUUCUGACUGAAAUUUCCGGGUGCCUCAAGAAGGUGCAGUUAGUUUGGACUUGCUUACAUGCACGUACACAGCCUCACGACUCGUCACUUGAUUGAUUCGGCUGGAACACAACACACACAUAAGAUAUGUUUGCCUCAACCCGUUGGUUGCAUUUGUGUUGAUUGAUCAAGGGAUUUUUGUACAUUUUGUUAGCGACUCCAGUUAAUGCAAGUCUGAUGUACCUAUCUGCCUAUCUUGGUGUGGGCUAGAACAAGUGGCUUUACUAUUG